rnacentral:rRNA from 1 species
CCCUUAGAUGUUCUGGGCCGCACGCGCGCUACACUGAUGCAUUCAACGAGUCUAAAACCUGCUCUGAUAGGGGUGGGUAAUCUUUUGAAUGUGCAUCGUGAUUGGGAUAGAUGAUUGCAAUUUUUCAUCUUCAACGAGGAAUGCCUAGUAAACGCGAGUCAUCAGCUCGCAUUGAUUACGUCCCUGCCCUUUGUACACACCGCCCGUCGCACCUACCGAUUGAAUGUUUCGGUGAAGAUUCCGGAUAGGACUGAUUUGAUUUAUUUCAUUUCUGACCUAAAAGCUAUCUAAACCUCAACAUUUAGAGGAAGGUGAAGUCGUAACA